CUUGGGCCGGAAAACUCCGUAAAUUACUAAAACAAGCUUGCGCGUUCUCAGUUAUUGUUUCGCAGGCUGCCCGUCGUUGAAAGCCAGGAGUGAAUCGUCUCCAGGAACCAUGAAAGCAGCUAGGCGAGGACCUGUUCCCCUGGUUGCGGCAGUAGAACUCCUGGCGUCGACACCCACGGUGGACACUUCGGACUGCAGCGACACCAAGGCGACAGUCUAUUCCGAAUUGCUGCCUCCAGUGACUAUCGGUGGCCGCAUUGACAGACAUCAACGGCUUACAGAGGCUGUUCAUCAGGCUCCACAGAGGCUUCAGAGUCAUCUUGACUUCAACUGAGAUACCACAAGAUUCCUUCAAGCGAGAAGGCAAGACAAAAGUUCAGCCGUCAUAGAAAAGGUUCGUUCGGUACUUUAUCAUCUCUCUUGCGGUCGCAUCUGUGCAACAAAUUUACACAAAAAAAGGUUAUACAGUUCUGCGAAUUCCCUCCGUAGGCUUCUUGGAAACC
rnacentral:misc_RNA from 1 species